rnacentral:rRNA from 1 species
GGGAAGAGCUCAAAUUUGAAAUCUGGUGGCCUUCGGCCGCCCGAGUUGUAAUCUAGAGAGGUGUUUUCCGUGCCGGACCGUGUGCAAGUCCCUUGGAACAGGGCGUCAUAGAGGGUGAGAAUCCCGUCCAUGACACGGACUCCCGGCGCACUGUGAUACACCUUCAAA